AUUGAACGCUGGCGGAAUGCUUUACACAUGCAAGUCGAGCGGCAGCGCGGGGGCAACCCUGAUUAGAGUGGCAAACGGGUGAGUAACACGUGGGUGACCUGCCUUCGAGUGGGGGAUAACCUUCCGAAAGGAGGGCUAAUACCGCAUGACAUACCGUGUUUGGAUACACGGAUAUCAAAGCCGGGGAUCGCAAGACCUGGCGCUUGGAGAGGGGCCCGCGUCCGAUUAGCAGUUGGUGAGGUAACGGCUCACCAAGGCUCCGAUCGGUAUCCGGCCUGAGAGGGCGGACGGACACACUGGAACUGAGACACGGUCCAGACUCCUACGGAGGCAGCAGUGGGGAAUUGUUCGCAAUGGGCGAAAGCCUGACGACGCAACGCCGCGUGGAGGAUGAAGAAUUUCGGUUCGUAAACUCCUUUCGACCGAGAUGAAUACUCAUGGACUUAACACGUCCGUGAGCUGACAGUAUCGAGAGAAGAAGCCCCGGCUAACUCUGUGCCA
rnacentral:rRNA from 1 species